UACGGGGGGGGCAAGCGUUGUUCGGAAUUACUGGGCGUAAAGGGCUCGUAGGCGGCCAACUAAGUCAGACGUGAAAUCCCUCGGCUUAACCGGGGAACUGCAUCUGAUACUGGAUGGCUUGAGUUCGGGAGAGGGAUGCGGAAUUCCAGGUGUAGCGGUGAAAUGCGUAGAUAUCUGGAAGAACACCCGUGGCUAAGGCGGCUCUCUAGUACGGUACUGACGCUGAGACGCGAAAGCGUGGGGAGCGAACAGG
rnacentral:rRNA from 1 species